CACGUAGGGGGCGAGCGUUGUCCGGAUUUAUUGGGCGUAAAGAGCUCGUAGGCGGCUCGGUAAGUCAACUGUGAAAGCUCCGGGCUCAACUCGGAGAGGCCAGUUGAUACUGCCGUGGCUAGAGUCCGGUAGGGGAGCGUGGAAUUCCAGGUGGAGCGGUGAAAUGCGUAGAGAUCGACUGGAAUGCCGAUGGCGAAGGCGGUGAGCUGGGCCAGUCCUGACGCUGAGGCACGAAAGCGUGGGGAGCAAACAGG
rnacentral:rRNA from 1 species